rnacentral:rRNA from 1 species
GACGAACGCUGGCGGCAUGCCUAACACAUGCAAGUCGAACGGAGUUUCUCAAAUGGAUCCCUUCGGGGUGAAGCUUUUGAAACCUAGUGGCGGACGGGUGAGUAACGCGUGGGUAACCUGCCCUUUUGUGGGGAACAACUUCGAGAAAUCGGAGCUAAUACCGCAUAUACUUACGGGAUCGCAUGAUUCUGUAAGGAAAGAUGGCCUCUGAAUAUGCUAUCGCAAAAGGAUGGACCCGCGUCUGAUUAGCUAGUUGGUGAGGUAACGGCUCACCAAGGCGACGAUCAGUAGCCGGCCUGAGAGGGUGAACGGCCACAUUGGGACUGAGACACGGCCCAA